AUGAAGGUGUUUCUCCAUCCACCCCACUCCCACCUUCCUGUCCUCAAUUCUGGUGCAUCUAUCAAACCUCCAUAGGAGCAAGGACCUCUCCUCCCAUUGAUGCCCAACAAGGCAAUCCUCUGCUAUACAUGGAGCUGGCGCCAUAUGUACUCCUUGGUUGAUGGUUUAGUGAUGGGAGGUGAUCUGUGCACAGGCAGCCUGGUCUCAGGAAGCAAGGAGUUCAGUCACUGCCCCCUGUCCCCUGUCCUGCAAAACCACCCCGCAGGAGAGAUGUGUGGCUGUCACGUAAGAGCAGAACCAAGCCUUCCUACACGUAAAUAAGGUUUCUCCAAGCUGUCAGUCCAAGACAAUGAGAAGUACAUGCUGCCAAACCUGGAAUCACCCCCAAACUGUAUAUAAACCCUAUCCUGAAUCCUAUAGGGGGGAUAAAAGGUGUGUGAGAGUUA